AAAGUUUUAGGUUAAUUAAACCUUAAGUCUUCAAAAUUUAAAAUAAACAAAGCUGUUUAAACUUUA
rnacentral:tRNA from 1 species